rnacentral:rRNA from 1 species
CCUACGGGGGGCUGCAGUAGGGAAUAUUGCUCAAUGGGGGAAACCCUGAAGCAGCAACGCCGCGUGGAGGAUGAAGGUUUUCGGAUUGUAAACUCCUUUUGUUAGAGAAGAUAAUGACGGUAUCUAACGAAUAAGCACCGGCUAACUCCGUGCCAGCAGCCGCGGUAAUACGGAGGGUGCAAGCGUUACUCGGAAUCACUGGGCGUAAAGGGCGCGUAGGCGGGAUAGCAAGUCAGAUGUGAAAUCCUAUGGCUUAACCAUAGAACUGCAUUUGAAACUGUUAUUCUAGAGUAUGGGAGAGGUAGGUGGAAUUCGUGGUGUAGGGGUAAAAUCCGUAGAGAUCAAGAGGAAUACUCAUUGCGAAGGCGACCUGCUAGAGCAUAACUGACGCUGAUGCGCGAAAGCGUGGGGAGCAAACAGGAUUAGAUACCCGGGUAGUC